GAWAACAGGAAAUUACGGGACCUAGAUAAGACUUUGUAAUACCCUUUCGCCUUUUAAUUGACAUAAGAACCCAGUUUUCUAGUAAAAUGAGUAGACGAUGCAUAAGGAAUGGUCGGGAUAGCUCAGUGUAGAGCAGAGUGAACUGAAAUCCUCGCACCCCUUCCAUAUA
rnacentral:tRNA from 1 species